GGAUAAAUGACCGAGUGGUUUAAGGUAUAAUAUUUGAGCUAUUAAGUGUAUUUUAUACACCGGGGGUUCGAAUCCCUCUUUAUCCG
rnacentral:tRNA from 5 species